rnacentral:lncRNA from 1 species
AGCCCGUGGAGACUGCUCCAUCCCCGGCUCACACACUCCUCCACACGGCUCACACUGCUGAGGAGGCUGGACAGAGAGGGGACCCCGCUGGAGGACUUCGAGCAUGAAUCUACCAUCAAGGCAUCGAUCCACACCUUUAAACCAACCCAGAGGAAAACAAACGGAGAGCGCUUUUAACACCACAUCUGUUUGUUUGUUUGUUCCAUCGUUAGAAGCGAUGCACCUAGAAAUCACUCUAUAAACUGUCACAUGUUGGUGAAAUCUCAGCGCUGCUGGAUCCUUGGUUUUUUAUCUCUCUCUCUGAGCUGAUUUUUUUAUUUUUAUUUGGAACACCGCAGUGACCGAGCUUUUCCAGACGUUUUUUUUAAAAAAAAUUUUCUCCCAUAAAGACUUUACACUUGCAGUCAUGAUCCGGAGCGCUCGGAGUGACAGAGAGGGGAGAAGAGCCAGACUGUGCCCGGAGAUGCUCACCCUGUCCGGGCUGCUGCUCUGGCUGCUGCUGCUGGAUGUCGGCGGAGCUCAAGGUAAACAAUUCAUCCUUCUAUUGUUGUAAUCAUCGAAAGCAAUUCCUGGACUUCAGCCGUAUAAAUUAUCCAUGAACUGAACUUAUAUAACAAGAGACACACAUUCUUAGGUUUGUUAGUGGAAGGGAUCCACCUACGGGAACCUUUUAGUGCACAG